UACGAGGGGGGCGAGCGUUGUUCGGAAUUAUUGGGCGUAAAGGGUGCGUAGGCGGUUUGGUAAGUCUGAUGUGAAAUCUAUGGGCUCAACUCAUAGUCUGCAUCGGAAACUGCCGGGCUUGAGUGUGGGAGAGGUGAGUGGAAUUCCUGGUGUAGCGGUGAAAUGCGUAGAUAUCAGGAGGAACACCUGUGGCGAAAGCGGCUCUCUGGAACGGUACUGACGCUGAGAUGCGAAAGCGUGGGGAGCGAACAGG
rnacentral:rRNA from 1 species